rnacentral:tRNA from 1 species
GCUUCGAUAGCUCAGUGGUAGAGCAAACUCUUGAUAAGGGUUAGGUCGAUGGUUCAAGCCCAUCUCGGAGUACCA